ensembl:snoRNA small nucleolar RNA, C/D box 4A
CGUGCGCGUGAUGAUGCUCUAGCGACCAAAGUCUGACUGGUUGUGAUUGCAGCCAAUGGCGACUGAUGCACC